rnacentral:rRNA from 1 species
CCUACGGGCGACAGCAGUGGGGAAUAUUGCACAAUGGGGGAAACCCUGAUGCAGCGACGCCGCGUGAGUGAAGAAGUAAUUCGGUAUGUAAAGCUCUAUCAGCAGGGAAGAAAAUGACGGUACCUGAGUAAGAAGCCCCGGCUAACUACGUGCCAGCAGCCGCGGUAAUACGUAGGGGGCAAGCGUUAUCCGGAUUUACUGGGUGUAAAGGGAGCGUAGACGGCAGUGCAAGUCUGGAGUGAAAGGCGGGGGCUCAACCCCCGGACUGCAUUGGAAACUGGCAUGCUGGAGUGCCGGAGGGGCAAGCGGAAUUCCUAGUGUAGCGGUGAAAUGCGUAGAUAUUAGGAGGAACACCGGUGGCGAAGGCGGCUUGCUGGACGGUAACUGACGUUGAGGCUCGAAAGCGUGGGGAGCAAACAGGAUUAGAUACCCGUGUAGUC